rnacentral:rRNA from 1 species
AUUGAACGCUGGCGGCAGGCUUAACACAUGCAAGUCGAGCGGGGUGAUGGUGCUUGCACUAUCACUUAGCGGCGGACGGGUGAGUAAUGCUUAGGAAUCUGCCUAUUAGUGGGGGACAACAUCUCGAAAGGGAUGCUAAUACCGCAUACGUCCUACGGGAGAAAGCAGGGGAUCACUUGUGACCUUGCGCUAAUAGAUGAGCCUAAGUCGGAUUAGCUAGUUGGUGGGGUAAAGGCCUACCAAGGCGACGAUCUGUAGCGGGUCUGAGAGGAUGAUCCGCCACACUGGGACUGAGACACGGCCCAGACUCCUACGGGAGGCAGCAGUGGGGAAUAUUGGACAAUGGGGGGAACCCUGAUCCAGCCAUGCCGCGUGUGUGAUGAAGGCCUUAUGGUUGUAAAGCACUUUAAGUGAGGAGGAGGCUCUUUUGGUUAAUACCCAAGAUGAGUGGACGUUACUCGCAGAAUAAGCACCGGCUAACUCUGUGCCAGCCGCCGCCGUAA